AUGGAGACAGUGUAUGUGGGGGAGAGAUAGAGUGAAGAUUGGGAGAGAGGAGAAAAGAUUCACGGGAAUAGAGAGACAGACUGAGGUGGAGGCAGAAACAUACAAAGGUAAAAGGAAAACACAAAGACACAGAGACAACACCCUGGAGAUCCAGAUGCACAUAGAAACCAGGGCAGUGAGAGAGAGAGAAUCAGAGAAGCAGAGAGAUAGGGACAGAGACAAAGAGAGAAAGGGGAAGCUACCCAAUGGAUAGCUGUGUUUAAUGGAAAAAAACAUAUAAACUUCUUGAGAAGGACUGCAUCCUGGCCCUUUGGGCUUCCUGGGAGGAAGGGUUCUUUGGCUUACCUGAGGUGCUGGAUAGUCCUAAGUCUCUGUGCUUUCCUCACUGACAGGUGGAAAUGCUGGGGUAAAAGGCCACCUACAAUAUAGACUUCCCCUGUAACCACAGCAUCCCAGUCCCGGAAGAGGCCUCAGUGCUGUCUCCUAUCGUCCCAUCUCACACCUCUGCUUACAGCCCUCCAGUGAACUGCAAAGACCAACCACUUAGUACUAACUCUCAGAAUAUUAUUCUUUAGGCUGAGCCACCUCCCCGCGACUUUCAGUUUGGGAGCAUCACGUGAGCAAAUCUGGUGCUGCUUUUCCACUUGGCUCUUCAGGUUGUUGAUGACAAUGACUGUGUUCCCACAUGGUCUCUCUUCUUCAGGACCAUGAUCUUUGGUUCCUUCACUGGUGUUACCGGUUAGGACAGGCUAAGUUAUGCUGUAGUAACAAACAAUCCCAAGAUCUCCGGCGUUCUCAGGAACAAAUAGUUAUUUCUUAUAGUAAAGAAAAAAUAAUCUUCUAACUGUUAAAGAAAAAAAAAUUAUUCAUGACCCUUGUUAAAGAAUAGUAAGGAGACUUUAUUCAAGGAGGGUGGUGGUAUUUCGAUGGAUGUAGGGGCCACCACAACAAAGCCUUGCAGAGACUGGACCCAACUCCAAAUAUAGCAUAUGGGCAAGUGGGAAUUUAUAGCCAAGGAGCAGGGUGGGGAUCAGUGGAUGGAAAGUUGCUAAGGAGAAAUAUCAGGAGUAAGGGGGAUUCUGGCUGACAGGACCUAACAGGAUUCUCACUGAAGGCGGGCCAGGGUGACCACACCGUCACCUGGGUGGGGGGUGGAGGAUGAAGACCUGAAUAAAUAUUGAGAGCCAUCAGAUAUGCAGGAUGGAGGAUUCUGGCUAAACUGACUUGGCAGGAUUCUUGCUAAAACUGGACAAUGCAAAGAUGAGCACUGAAGCUCGAAAGUCAGAGUCUACUUGGGAAGACAGUUCCCUAGAGCCUGAACAGAGUUGGCCGAGGAGAGAAUCUUUGUCAUUUGCUCAUGCUCUGUGUUCACUGUGGGCCAGAACAACGGCUCCAAUUCAUAUUCAUUCCAGGACCCAGGCUGGUCAAGCAGCCUCUCUCUGAGCUCCUGGGAGUCCACCUAGGAGAGGAGGCUGGGCGCACGGGACAGCGGAGCAUGCGCGUUGCCUUCCGUCCGCGAUGUGACGCAGCACGCGGACGCCCUCCGGGUCGUCCCCGGCCCCAAGCCAGGCGCUGCCGUGUGCCGACCGCCAGAGGAAGCGCACCUUUAAUCUGAUCGUUCUACCUAAGUUCUACUGGGCUUUACCAUUCAGUGCCUUUUAAAAAUCUCAUCACUUGGGGUCUAGAAGCAAUUGGCUCUUCUGUAGCUCCAAGAUGGAAAAGGGCAUCUUAUCUUCUUUGGGCUUUGAAUGAAUGAGAAAUAAACCUUUAUUGUUUUAAUCCACUGAAAUUUUAGGAUUUAUCUGUUUUGACAGCUACUGUUAAUUAUUUUAAUGCAGAAAUUGGUAAGAAGUGGAGUGCUCCAUAACAAAAACAUAAAAUAUAUGAUAUCUUAGUGAUCGGGGACAGGUAAUGGGGAAGUGAAUUGGAGACUGGAAAGAUGGAGGUAAGAGUAUUCAGUGACAAGGUAUUUGUAACGUUGUUGCUUGUGGUGACUUGAAAAUGCAGAGCUUGCACUUACUGUACUUGUCAUUCCAGGGAAGGUGUAGGAAAAUAGAAUGAUGGUAGCGUGGCUGCAUUUGGCAAGGUAUUUAUAAGUAUGGGAUGAGCUCAGAAAAUUCUAAGGUGGAUUGCAAGCAGAAAUUAAGGAGAGAGAGUCCAGAAAUGUGAGGCCUUGAGGGUGGAAUAGCAUACUGCUUUAUACAUCACACAAUAAGAGAUGGGAUUCAAUAAGGAUUUAAAUGGCAAAGGCCCAGCAAAACCUGUCAGUUGGAAAAAUGAUGCAGGGCAUAGAUCAAGUGAAAAGAGCAGACUUCUCAUUGAUUUUUCCGUAUAGUCUCAAGAUAGCUGCCAUUGGCUUAAGAGAGAGAGAAGCAAGGCAUGAGAAAGCAAGGAAAAGGACAGAUUUGAGAACUAUAUCUUAAAAAGAACUUUGGUUGUGGUCAGUGGAAAUAGAUCAGAAACCUAUUACAUUACUGGGUGAAAUGCAAUGCCAAAGAAACCGUGAGCCUGGUCUAGAAAAUCUUUGAGGCUUAAAACAACCCUUGGGAUGCCAACCUUCCACGAACAGAAAGUAGACUAAGAAAAAGAUACAACACCCAGGAGGGCAUAAAUCCCUAAUACUUACUUCAUAAGUGUCUAAGGCAGGUCAUGGCUCCUAAAAGGGGGACCCUGGGGUCAUGAGAACAGUGGAUAAGCAUUGGUUGCUCUGAGAGGAAAUUUAUUCCCCCUUACCCAGAGCAGGAGGCUUCCUGAAGUCUGCCCAGCAGGAUUUCAGAACUGCUCCGGAUCUGUGACUCUUGUAUGUUUCCCAUUCUUUCCAAGCAGGAGACUCUCCAGAUAUGUUUAUUUUUGGACUCUUGUGGACAACCAGCUGUGCACCAGGGUGGAUUGUGAAGACGUUGCUGGAUGGUUUAUGGCAGGCUACCUGGAGUCAUUUCUCCUGUUGUGAUGAUGAUAGAAACAUCUUGAAAAGCCUAGAAACCUACAGAGGAAAGUCCCUCAGGAAGCUUGAUUGUUGAACAUAUCUGACCACAGCCUCAUCCAACUGUGAUUGGUUUUCAGUUAUCAGAAGAUUUGGGCUUUCCGUGGCUGCAUCAUCUUCCCCUCUUGCCAUUUGUAAAGAGAGAGUCCUGACCAACUGUGUGGUGAUUGGAGAUAGAUAUCUGAGUCCCUGCCAGCAGAGAGAUUGAAGCAGGCAUCUUGGGGAGCUUUGGGCUCCUUGUCCCAGGGGAGCAUCAUGCAAGAAGAGGAGUCACCAUCCUGAUGAAGAUAGUUAUUUCUGAUAAGGAGGAGAAAGUGCUCAGUAAUGCUGGUGCCAGAAUUCAUCUAUCAAGGGAUUCUUCUUAUUUGGAAAGCUCCCAUGUCAAGUCACUCUGAGUGGCAGGGUAGAGUCAGAGGAAUGCAGGAAUGAGGGAGGAAAAGAUGGAUAACACAUCUCCUGCAUCCACUAUUUACUGUGUUCCCACCACCUUCUACCCUUCCUCGUGUUGUAUUAGAGACUCAGGAUGGAGCCUGAAAGCCUGGAGUAGAACUACAUUCUGGACGCCUUGUAUGAAACAACUGACUGAACCAGAGGU